rnacentral:rRNA from 1 species
GAUGAACGUUGGCGGCGUGCCUAACACAUGCAAGUCGAACGAAAGUAGCAAUACUUUAGUGGCGCACGGGUGAGUAACACGUAGCUUACCUCCCUCUCAGCGCGGGAUAACGACUCGAAAGAGUUGCUAAUACCGCAUAAGCUCACGGGUCCUAGAGACUUGUGAGAAAAGGUGCAAAUCACUGAGAGACGGGGCUGCGGCCCAUCAGCUAGUUGGCGCGGUAAAGGCGCACCAAGGCGACGACGGGUAGGGGACCU